ACUCCUACGGGAGGCAGCAGUGGGAAUCUUGCGCAAUGGGCGGAAGCCUGACGCAGCAACGCCGCGUGUGGGAAGACGGCCUUCGGGUUGUAAACCACUUUCAGGGGGGACGAAGCUUCCGAGGUUAAUAGCCUACGGGGUGACGGUACCCCACGAAGAAGACCCCGGCUAACUGACGUGCCAGCAGCCGCGGUAAUACGUAAGGGGCGAGCGGUUGUCCGGAAUCAUUGGGCGUAAAGGCGCGUGUAGGCGGCUCGGUCAGUCUGGUGUGAAACC
rnacentral:rRNA from 1 species